GUGCUCACUUCAAGGGCACGUGUACUGAAACUGGAAUGAGACAAAGAUUAGCAUGCCCCCUGAGCAAGGAUGACAUGCAGAUUCAUGAAGUAUUCCACAUUUAA
rnacentral:snRNA from 1 species